rnacentral:rRNA from 1 species
GAUGAACGCUGGCGGCGUGCCUAAUACAUGCAAGUAGAACGCUGAAGGAGGAGCUUGCUCUUCUGGAUGAGUUGCGAACGGGUGAGUAACGCGUAGGUAACCUGCCUGGUAGCGGGGGAUAACUAUUGGAAACGAUAGCUAAUACCGCAUGACAACAGUUAUUGCAUGAUAACUGUUUAAAAGGGGCAACUGCUCCACUACCAGAUGGACCUGCGUUGUAUUAGCUAGUUGGUGAGGUAACGGCUCACCAAGGCGACGAUACAUAGCCGACCUGAGAGGGGGAUCGGCCACACUGGGACUGAGACACGGCCCAGACGCCUACGGGAGGCAGCAGUAGGGAAUCUUCGGCAAUGGACGGAAGUCUGACCGAGCAACGCCGCGUGAGUGAAGAAGGGUUUCGGAUCGUAAAGCUCUGUUGUAAGAGAAGAACGAGUGUGAGAGUGGAAAGUUCACACUGUGACGGUAUCUUACCAGAAAGGGACGGCUAACUACGUG